AAAGGGUGCGUAGGUGGUUGGGUAAGUUUGAGGUGAAAGCUCCGAGCCUAACUCGGAAAAUGCCUUGAAGACUAUCUGACUAGAGGAUUGGAGGGGAGAUUGGAAUUCUCGGUGUAGCAGUGAAAUGCGUAGAUAUCGAGAGGAACACCAGUGGCGAAGGCGAAUCUCUGGACAAUUCCUGACACUGAGGCACGAAAGCCAAGGGAGCAAACGGGAUUAGAUACCCUGGU
rnacentral:rRNA from 1 species